rnacentral:rRNA from 1 species
CCUACGGGCGGCAGCAGUAGGGAAUAUUGCUCAAUGGGGGAAACCCUGAAGCAGCAACGCCGCGUGGAGGAUGAAGGUUUUCGGAUUGUAAACCCCUUUUGUUAGAGAAGAUAAUGACGGUAUCUAACGAAUAAGCACCGGAUAACUCCGUGCCAGUAGCCGCGGUAAUACGGAGGGUGCAAGCGUUACUCGGAAUCACUGGGCGUAAAGAGCGCGUAGGCGGGAUAGCAAGGCAGAUGUGAAAUGCUAUGGCUUAACCAUAGAACUGCAUUUGAAACUGUUAGUCUAGAGUAUGGGAGAGGUAAGUGGAAUUCUUGGUGUAGGGGUAAAAUCCGUAGAGAUCGAGAGGAAUACUCAUGGCGAAGGCGACCUGCUGGAACAUAACUGACGCUGAUGCGCGAAGGCGUGGGGAGCGAACAGGAUUAGAUACCCGUGUAGUC